CCCGCUGAACUUAAGCAUAUCAAUAAGCGGAGGAAAAGAAACUAACAAGGAUUCCCCUAGUAACUGCGAGUGAAGCGGGAAGAGCUCAAAUUUGAAAUCUGGCGGCUUCGCCGUCCGAGUUGUAUUCUGGAGAAGCGUUUUCCGUGCUGGACCGUGUACAAGUCCCUUGGAACAGGGCGUCGUAGAGGGUGAGAAUCCCGUCUUUGACACGGACUGCCAGUGCUCUGUGAUGCGCUCUCGAAGAGUCGAGUUGUUUGGGAAUGCAGCUCAAAAUGGGUGGUAAAUUCCAUCUAAAGCUAAAUAUUGGCGAGAGACCGAUAGCGAACAAGUACCGUGAGGGAAAGAUGAAAAGCACUUUGGAAAGAGAGUGAAACAGUACGUGAAAUUGUUGAAAGGGAAACGCUUGAAGUCAGUCGCGUCGACCGAGACUCAGCCUCGCCUCGGCUUGGUGUACUUCUCGGCUCGACGGGUCAGCAUCGAUUUCGAUCCUCGGAUAAUGGCAAGGGAAAGGUAGCACCUUUUUAGGUGUGUUAUAGUCCUCUGUCGCAUGCGAGGGUCGGGAUCGAGGAACUCAGCACGCACCUCAGGGUGUCGGGGCCUUGGCCCACGUUUACGUGCUUAGGAUGCUGGCGUAAUGGCUUUAAACGACCCGUCUUUGAAACACG
rnacentral:rRNA from 1 species